GGUUAGGGAUAUAGGUUUUUGUUUGAUCCUUGUUUGAACCGCUCUCUUACGCCCAUAAACCGGCCUACGGUCAUCUUGGUUCAUCCAAGGUAGUGCGCUCUCACUCGAGAUCAUACAGCUAGCCGGGAUGACUGGACCCUGUCUUAUAGGUGUUAUGUGCAAUUGUUAACAAGUAACCUGAUCUGUGAUGUGCUGUGUAAGUGCAAAGUGGAUGCCUGUUUAGUGGGACCAGCCCAACUAAACUAUGCGUGUAUUGUCAUGUACUGCAUAGGGAAAAUUUUUUUGAUAAGUAACUAAAUAAAAGAUAAAAGAUAAAAGUUAAAGUGAAGUUAAAAGUAAAACUAAAAAAUUGGGUUUAGAGUCCACAAUUUUAAUACGGUUCAGGGCCAACUUUAAUUGGUUAGGUUUAGAAUAAAAGUUAUAAUAAGUUUCCAAAUUAAUUGGUUGUGUUUUAAGGUCAAGGGUCAUAAUGAGCUUCAAACCUACCCGUUAAUUGGUUAGGUUUAGAGUCAAAGGGUAUGGUGAGGUUCAAAAUCCCACUUAAUUAGGUUUAGAGUCAACCGUUAACGCGAAUUUUAAGGUUUAAUUUAAUUGGUUAGGUUUAGAGUCAAAGGGUAUGGUUAGGUUCAAAAUCCCAAUUACUUAGGUUUAGAGUCAACCGUUAAAGCGAAUUUUAAGACUUAAUUUAAUUGGUUAGGUUUAGAAUCAAAGGUUAUGAUGAGUUUCCAAGUUUAGCUGGUUAUGUUUUGGGGUCAAGGUCAUAAUAAAGUUAAAAAUACCAAUUAAUCAGGUAGAUUAUGUAGUUUAAGGAUAUGGUGAGUUUUUCCUUUUCCGAUUAAUUAAUUAGGUUUAGAGUCAGCAGUUGGAUUAACUAAUCCUUAUUAUUCUCCGAAAAAGACUUAAAUUAUUUUAAUUGUUUUUAGUUUAAUUUUUUGAGAGAGAUAUUUACAAUUAUCCUAUUUUCUCAAUAUUUUAAUAGCGUUUUUAACAGCGGUUCGGCGGUACCGCACCGACGUUAAAACGUAGCUAAGUAUCUAAAUUUUAGAAUCCGCUCGUCAGUGGUGUACCGCUGGAUCAACGGGUGUUUCGGCCGUGGACAACACCAUACACCCUCCUCAGCGGCGGCAACCCGGGGUGAUCAAAUCCCGGGCCGGAUUCCAUAUUCAAUUGGCAGUUUUUUUGCUAAUUUCGAGUGGGAAAAGUGGUAAAACUAGUUAUUUAAUUAAUAAUCUCCGUAAGUUUUUUUUGUUUUAAAUUAUUCAACGAUCGUUCCGUAACAAAGGGAAGGUAUUUACUUACAUAUUCAACCAAGAUUGUUACUAUUUUUCAACAAAAUGUAUUUUCUUAUGUCCGCUCUCUUCUUGUUUGUUGCGGCUGUGUAUCAACCAACGGUCAAGAUCCUUCUGGAACUUUCCAGCGGACGAGCGGGGGAGAGAGAGAGAGAGAGAGAGAGAGAGAGAGAGAGCACGCAUGCGCCCCAGCAUCCGAGCGGCAACGUCAU